rnacentral:ncRNA from 1 species
UAAUGAUAGAGGCGCAAGUGCUAUCAGUAACGUUAGUCUAUGAUUUUCGCAAAAUUACGGCUGGCGUGAAAGGAGUAUUUGCCGAAGAAUUUCAAGGCGUAAGAAAUUCUGGGCGAACGGACAAUAUUCGUUCGACUGUCGCAAAUGCGGAGUGCUAUCUU